rnacentral:miRNA from 1 species
UAUACGGCACUGGACACGAUUCUCGAC